GGUAAAGGCCUACCAAGACUAUGAUGUGUAGCCGGGCUGAGAGGUUGAACGGCCACAUUGGGACUGAGACACGGCCCAAACUCCUACGGGAGGCAGCAGUAGGGAAUUUUCGGCAAUGGAGGAAACUCUGACCGAGCAACGCCGCGUGAACGAUGAAGUAUUUCGGUACGUAAAGUUCUUUUAUUAGGGAAGAAUAAAUGAUGGAAAAAUCAUUCUGACGGUACCUAAUGAAUAAGCCCCGGCUAACUAUGUGCCAGCAGCCGCGGUAAUACAUAGGGGGCAAGCGUUAUCCGGAAUUAUUGGGCGUAAAGGGUGCGUAGGCGGUUAAAUAAGUUUAUGGUCUAAGUGCAAUGCUCAACAUUGUGAUGCUAUAAAAACUGUUUAGCUAGAGUAAGAUAGAGGCAAGUGGAAUUCCAUGUGUAGUGGUAAAAUGCGUAAAUAUAUGGAGGAACACCAGUAGCGAAGGCGGCUUGCUGGGUCUUUACUGACGCUGAGGCACGAAAGCGUGGGGAGCAAACAGGAUUAGAUACCCUGGUAGUCCACGCCGUAAACGAUGAGUACUAAACGUUGGGUAAAACCAGUGUUGAAGUUAACACAUUAAGUACUCCGCCUGAGUAGUACGUACGCAAGUAUGAAACUUAAAGGAAUUGACGGGACUCCGCACAAGCGGUGGAUCAUGUUGUUUAAUUCGAAGGUACCCGAAAAACCUCACCAGGUCUUGACAUGCUUCUGCAAAGCUGUAGAAACACAGUGGAGGUUAUCAGUUGCACAGGUGGUGCAUGGUUGUCGUCAGCUCGUGUCGUGAGAUGUUGGGUUAAGUCCAACAACGAGCGCAACCCUUAUUGUUAGUUACCAGCACGUAAUGGUGGGGACUUUAGCAAGACUGCCAGUGAUAAAUUGGAGGAAGGUGGGGACGACGUCAAAUCAUCAUGCCCCUUAUGACCUGGGCUACAAACGUGAUACAAUGGCUGUUACAAAGGGUAGCUGAAGCGCAAGUUUUUGGCGAAUCUCAAAAAAACAGUCUCAGUUC
rnacentral:rRNA from 1 species